rnacentral:rRNA from 1 species
AGUGAACGCUGGCGGUAGGCCUAACACAUGCAAGUCGAACGGCAGCACAGUAAGAGCUUGCUCUUACGGGUGGCGAGUGGCGGACGGGUGAGGAAUACAUCGGAAUCUACUUUUUCGUGGGGGAUAACGUAGGGAAACUUACGCUAAUACCGCAUACGACCUACGGGUGAAAGCAGGGGAUCUUCGGACCUUGCGCGAUUGAAUGAGCCGAUGUCGGAUUAGCUAGUUGGCGGGGUAAAGGCCCACCAAGGCGACGAUCCGUAGCUGGUCUGAGAGGAUGAUCAGCCACACUGGAACUUAGACACGGUCCAGACUCCUACGGGAGGCAGCAGUGGGGAAUAUUGGACAAUGGGCGCAAGCCUGAUCCAGCCAUACCGCGUGGGUGAAGAAGGCCUUCGGGUUGUAAAGCCCUUUUGUUGGGGAAGAAAAGCAGCAGGUUAAUACCCCGCUGUUCUGACGGUACCCAAAGAAUAAGCACCGGCUAACUUCGUG